CACGUAAAGAACCUGCCUCAUAGACUGGGACAACUAUUGGAAACGAUAGCUAAUACCGGAUAGCAGCAUUAACUGCAUGGUUGAUGUUUAAAAGUUGGUUUUGCUAACACUAUGAGAUGGCUUUACGGUGCAUUAGCUAGUUGGUGGGGUAAAGGCCUACCAAGGCGACGAUGCAUAGCCGACCUGAGAGGGUGAUCGGCCACACUGGGACUGAGACACGGCCCAG
rnacentral:rRNA from 1 species